CAAAAGGUGUUAGUUUUUGAGUUCUAAGCAUUUUCAGCCUUGAAAUCGGAUUUGGGCUAAGAGUUAUUGAGGACCCUUGAUCUUGGUUAGGGAUUUUCCGAUUAUGACGGCGGAGAUGUGUCCGCCACUUUUGGGCCUCCUUCUACUUGGUUAAGAGGGCUUGGAUGACUAAGCUCCCUCUCUCUCUCUCUAUCUUCUUGUGGCGAAGCCAUGGCAAAAUGUUCUCCUAUCUUGUGAACGCAAAUCUUCUUCUUUAAAUUUAUAUGGCUUCAAUUUUUACUCACUCAAUCUAUCUCUUUCUUUCUGUAAAACUUCAUAAGCAGAUUCUACUCAUCUUUAGCUUUGUAACAACGUAAGGCACGCCUGAAUUGAAGUUGAGACGAAUUUUUGGCGAGUUUUCAAGGUGGUGGGGGUCUACUGCCUUGGCAAUGUAGGAACGUCGUCUUAAACAAUCUAUAACUCGGUGAUCUCUAACUC
rnacentral:lncRNA from 1 species